rnacentral:rRNA from 1 species
UACGUAGGGUGCGAGCGUUGUCCGGAAUUAUUGGGCGUAAAGGGCUCGUAGGCGGUUUGUCGCGUCGGGAGUGAAAACCUCGGGCUUAACUCGGGGCUUGCUUUCGAUACGGGCAGACUGGAGGUAUGCAGGGGAGAACGGAAUUCCUGGUGUAGCGGUGAAAUGCGCAGAUAUCAGGAGGAACACCGGUGGCGAAGGCGGUUCUCUGGGCAUGACCUGACGCUGAGGAGCGAAAGUGUGGGGGAGCGAACAGG